GGGAAAGGAUGCUGAUCAAUCUUCAUUGGUUUUGCUGGCUUCGUCGGGAUUUUGAACUUGAGCCUGCCUUGUUCGAUGGCCGAUUGUAUCUGCUGACGGAAGAUCUUGCACUCAUUUGUGUCGUGGGACAUAGCGUUGUGCCAUUUGCAAUACUUCAUCUUUUUCAGCUGUUUGGCCGAUGGGAUCGUAUGAUAGGGUGAGAGCUUGAUCUGCCCUUCUUGGAGGAGUAAGUCGAAAAUUUUGUCGGCGUUUG
rnacentral:lncRNA from 1 species